rnacentral:lncRNA from 1 species
AAAAGAACUACAUUAUCGUUUUAGCAUAAUAAAAAUUUCUUCAAAGACCAAAACAACUAUGUGUUUAUUUUAUUUUUUACUAAUCCAAAAAUGGAUGUGGUGACAAAUUCAACUUAGUCAAUGCAAGUUAUACGAGAAAUUUAUCAAAGAGAAAGCCUAGGGAAUGAAUUCACCUGCUGUCAACAAAGUUUCUCAAAUUAUAUGGUAGUUUUAUCAAUUUUUCCGAAGUUAUAAGUAAAACCCUGAAUUAAUUUUAAUCCCUCUCUCAAGUGCCAAAUAGAAUCUAUCUCUAUAUUUCAAUUCCAAUUCCAAUAUCUCGAUUCCCAGUUGAAAUCUAAAAGUUAUCAAUUUCAUGGUUCUUAAGUGAAGCAUGCUUCAAAGAUUUUAUAUUUUCUCUCGAAACCUACAAAACAUAAAUGUCCUAUUCUUAGAUCAUGCAUAAAUUUUUCUCUAUUAAAUGUCGAAAUUUAAAACAUCAAAUCAUUCAAUUAUUGAUCACACAAUUGAAAAGCAUUAAGCAAGAAUCAACACAAGUAAACUUAAGGAAAAACUAAUAAAAGCAACUAUAAUAAAAUCAAAACGUGUCUAAAGUAGGUUAAUCAAACCGUAGUUCUAAUAAUUUAGCUCAUGAAUAAGAAAAAAGACAUAGUCCAAUCCAGUAUGAAGAAUGUGGAGAAGAAAAGAAUAAGAAAAACUAAUUUGUUGUGUGAAUUCACCUCUUUGAUGUUGUCUUCAUUCCUCUAGAUCAAUCUAUUGCUUUCUUAUCUCUUCCCUUGUUGAAGUCCUUAGGGUUGUAUAUAUAGUCUUCUCUAGUCUUCUAUGAAUUAGGGAUGGAUUGGGCCUUAAAAAAAUCCGCAAAAAUUAAAAAACUUCUCGACAGUCAGUGCCUUGACACUGCAUUCGCCACGUCAUGGCCCUGUGAUGUUACCUUUACUGGUGCUACUGUUUCGGUCUUCUACCUCCUGCAACAGCAGCAUUGGCUUCCUAUCAUUUUUCCUCUGUAGUGAUCGGGCAUUGCGAAGCCCUUUUUCUAACUUGUUUUCUUCUCCUUGCUUUGAUUAUUUUCCUUCCCAUCUUUUAAGAUAAUUCUAAGUCCAUUCCCAUCCUGCCACACUCUAUAAACUUUGGCUCUUUUUCAUGCUCCAAAAUCACCAUUUUCGCGAAGUUAACUAAGAUGUAACACAACACGAACACACACAUCAAAUUGUUCUAAAUUGCUUGAAGACAACCAAAAUAUCAUGUUUAGUGGCGUUAUACUGUGAGUGAAACUCACUCAUCAAACACCCCCAAACAUGAUUCUUUGCUAGUCCUCAAGCAAACAUAAAGCAAAAGUGAAGAACUAAUCUACACUAACACACUUAAACAAAAAAAAGUCACCUAAAACAUAUUUAGUUAGCUAGCUUGCCUUUAUAGCUCAGUAUUGAAAACAUUAUAUCAAAUCCAUAAACUAUUUCAAUAUUAUAAUGCAACAGCUAAAUUUUUACUCAUCCAAUGCAAAAUGAGUAUGUGUGAAUAAUUAAUUGCAAUGUUAUACAUUUAAAAGUUGAUCCAAUUCUUGACCUUAAAAGUCAAAAUAUUUGCUUUCUUUUCUCAUAGGUUUCACACCCCCUAAACUUGUUUUCUUUUGCUAAAUUCCUAAGGGUGCAUUCUAAAGUUUAUUUCUAAAUUUUCAUUUCUUAUACGUCUCAAAUUUGGUUUUUCUAACUGGUGACGUCCACAAUUUAUGCAUUUGAUGAUCCUCCCAAAUUAUGAGUGCUUCAUGAUCAAGUUUAUAUGGAACAAGUCAAACCCACUAGUUAUCUAAGCCCUAACAAUUUAGUCACUAUUGCACAUUUAAUUGCUUAUUUUCAUAUUGUCUUUUAAGAGCAAGAUUAGGCUCACCAUUUUUUCUCUUCUUUAUCCCUAUAACAAGCUUUUAGUCAAUAACUCUUCAACUUUUUAGGCCAUAGAGUUUCAAGAGACCCCAAAAGACUUACGAACUUUGGUAAAAAAGGCGCCGGUGUGAGUUAGAGUCAAAAAGUGCAAUGCUCAUUUUUUGCACAAGAAAAUAAAAAUAAAAAGGUUAGAUCUCUAGCAUGCAGUCAUCACCUAGCUUAUACUUGAGAGUUUAAGACACUCUACAUAGCAUUUUUCUUCAACAUGCAUGGAAUCAUCACAAGCUUAAGUCAUAUCUUUCGCAGGCUCAAACACCCCAAAUUGUCCCCUAGAAGGUCUUAUAUGGUGAAUUAUAAGUUUCGGGGUUAAGCAUCUAAGUUCUUUUCUCAAUCCAUAAGUAUGAAAAAUCUUAUUCAUGUACGCUACAAUCAAUUCAUGUGCAUAUUUAAUUUCACAUUUCACAUGAAUAAGCAAAAAUUUCAACUAAUACACAUAACUCCAUUUCAAUUCAUAAACCAACAUAUGUUUUCAAUUCUAUACAUCAUGGCCAACAAGAUUAACUAACUCACACAAGCAUGCAACAAUGAGUAAAUCACAUGAAGUAAAAAAAUUCACACAUAUACUUUACUAAAUAAGUAAGUUACUUAGAUGAUUAAUUACCCUCCCAACUUAAAGUGAACAUUGUCCCCAACAUAUAAUGAAAGAAAAAUGAAGGGUAUUUGACUAGCAUGAAGAUAUUAAUUGUCUUCGACGUUAUUGGUGUCUCGGCUAGGCGGAGCUAGAAAGGUAGAAUGGUAUGAAAAUAAUGACGGUUGAGGAAAAGGCUAAUCAGGUAAUAUGGAUGUCAAAGCAUUUUUGAACUCAUUCUAAUAGUGAAAUUGGUCACACAUGGAGUUCUGAAUAUGAUUCAAUUGCAGUCAUGUCCUAUCCUGCCAUUAUGUCAUUUGCAGGUGCAUGGCUUGAAGUUGACUAGCAAUGUUAGUACUACUAUCCUUGACUGGUGGAGGUACUUGUAAUGGUUGAGAAGCAUUGGACGAGCCCUAAUGACUUAGGAACCAUUCUAUUAUGGCCCCGUGUAAGAGCUGGUCUAGGUCAAACUACCUCCUUUGACCACGAUACCCCUCUUAUACAUACAUCACGGAUCAAUGAGGGGUGUCCUAAACUCGAAGUUGGAAAGUUGAUAACAAUAGUGGAUGAUUGUUUCGAUUUGGUCAUUUUCUUGGCCAAUACACUGAGAAUUCUCUCAGACUCAGCACCUUUUCCAUGGAUUUUGGAGUAAUCAUCAUUAGGUGUGUCUAGAAUUUUAUAGUAGUAGUUGAUAGAUGAACUGUCAAAAGGAACUCAUUUCCCUCUCAUGAAGACUUUUAAAUCUCGAUGCUCUACGACAUUAGCAUAAAAUUCCCUGAAGAAUAUGUUAGAGGUGGAACUGGGUUGUUUAGAAAAUACCUACCAAUUUCUACUAGCAAUUUGUUGCUCCAUGCAGUUCUUAAUGCCUCUUUCCUUAAUACAAUUCAUAUGGAGCACCAUGUUGGUAUAUCUCUCUGCUUCCCUGGGACUAGUAAACCUCAUUUUAUCCUAUAGAAUGGAAGAAGAAGACUCCAAGGAUUUAGAUUUCUUCAUAGGUGGCAUUUUAAGCCUCCCAGUUUCAACAAGUCAUUAUGUCCAAAAAACUACAAACAAGGGCAACUUAACCGCUGUCAAUAGAGCAACCAUAAGGUGAGACCAACAAUAAUCCCCAAAGUCGAACAACCUCAAUGUAAAGAACUAAGAGACCCUAACUAAUCACCAAAAACUCCAUGAAAGUCACUAGGAAAUUUUCAAAAACAUCUUAUGAGUGACAAUUCAACCCUAUAUAGUUCACAAAUUAAUUUCUCCCAAACUUCUAAUAUAACCUGCAACAGAUAAUCAACUCAUCACCAAAGUAAAUAACCAAAGUGCCCAACAACAAUUCCAAAUUUUUAUCACUCAAUCCAAAGAUAAGAAACCACUACUAUCAGGAGAAAAAUCCCUUGUUUUGAUAGAGUAGCUAAAGCCCAAUUAGCCUUUGAUUGCAAGAACAACUCUAAUUUCUCGGGUAAGUUGAUUAGUGAAGGAAAGUUAGAAGUUUUGUGGGUGAAAAUUGGGAAAUGAAAUCAAGCCCAAGGUUUAUGAGAAGGGGCAAAAAUCUUAUAAAUUGGGUGUAGGUUUAAUGGGUUGUGUGGAGUAAUGAAGGGAUAAACUAGUGAAUGAAGAGUGUUGAAGUAAUUCUUGGUGAAAUUCGAAGGAAAAGUGGUAAAAGGGGAUGAAGAAAAACAAAAUCUGGGUUUGGAGAGAGAGAGAGUUGUGGAUUUCGUGUAGGAGAGAAUGGGGGUU